UAUCAAAUUAAUCAUGUCACAUGUAGUAGACAAAAAAUGGUUAUAAUAUAUAACACAAGUAUGAGGAUGAAGGGAUCGUAGUUAUCGUGUACUCCGAUAUCCUACUUGAUAGCCUGCUAGUGGAUUAUUUGGGAGGUUAGGAAUGGGAUGAUCUUUAGGAUGACCCAAUCAGAUCCCCUACUAGCAGUGUACAAGAUCAAGCAGUUGACGAAGCUCUGGGACCAAGUUUGAUUUUUUAUUUUUUAUUUUUCACUCUCACCGAGGUCAGUGCUGUCUCACCUAUGUAGCAUAAUUCAUUAUAUCAAUGAAUGAAACAGAUAACAUGUUAUCUUUUUCUCAAUAUAUAUAUAUAACACAAGUAUACAGAGCAAAAAUAAUGCUCGCCUACUCG
rnacentral:lncRNA from 1 species